UACCACAUUUAUCCACAUAUGUUAAUAUUAUUUGCACCGUUAGAUUCAAAUAAUAAUGGCUGAGAUUAAAAGUUUUUACGUUACAUGCUAACAUGUAUUUACUAUCUUAUUGAACUAGCACGUUGUCACGUCUAUGCAUAUGCAUAUAUGAUACAUGUACGGAAAGACUCAAUCAUCUACAUGUAAUUAAUGAGUGCAAGCAGGAAUCGUCCACACGGAAAAAGAGAAUAUCCGGACAACGUACGCCUAAGAUAAACUACACAAUGCUCAAAAAAAAAGAUAAACUACACAAGAUCACACGGCAAUAUAUAUUCUAUUUUGUGUGACACGUCCAGACGUAAUCACAUACUAGAGCACCACCGUCACAUAUAUAGAACCUCACGUGCGUCUAAUUCCAAAUCGGGCAUAUGCAUGCCAAAAAAACAAGGAGAACUACAACCGGACUCAAUCUAUAGAACUCCACACGGAGUCUUGAUAAAAGGAAAUACCAUGUGGAGUCCUGAUAAAGAGAAACUCCACAUGGAUCGGACAAGGCACUCAGCCGGCCACAUCUAACCCCAAGAGUCAGAAUCCAACCAAUUCUGGACAAAUCGAUGUUUGUAAAUCUGCUACCUAAUCAGAGCACCGCCGAGAAAAUUGAAGUCUUCCAGAAUUUGCUACGCGAGCACCACAAACAAAAUCGAAGACUAUAGAACAAAUCUGCCAUCCGAUUAGAGCACCACCAACAAUCGAAGAUUGUCGGCUCUGUGAUGCCAGACAAAUAUCAAAGAAAGCCAAAACUCUGAUGUGGCUGCAUCUCAAUGCCCGGUGAAGUCAGGACAGAUCUUCUGAGCUGCGUCUCACCUGAAUCAGGUUCGUAUAUCAGAAUAAAAGUUGUAUAGAUAGCUGACUAACAAAUUCAGAAUCCUUUCAAAGCCAAAAAACUAUGGUGUUGAUGAAGCUUAGUGCUUACAUAGAUAGCUGACUAAGAAUUUUAGAAUUCUUUCACAGCCAAAAAACUAUGGUGUUGAAGAAGAUUUAGUGCUUACCAACAACAGGAUAAACUAGAACAUUCAAGUGAAAGUACAGAUAAUGUGGGAUUGCCUCAAUCAUACAACAGAUCAUCAAUUUAAAACAAGCAAAUGCUAAUUAUAUUUUGUUUGCACUGAUAUGGAAAAAUAGUUCAUGUCACUAUCAACAUUAAAAGCAUCAUGCUAUUAUCCGGAGGAAUUUGAUACAAUUAUAUUGACGAAAUAAAAUGAUAAUUCUAUUUAUGCAUAUAACACUUUUUUACAGGUAUGCAUAUAAUACUUUUAAGUUUGUCAAAUCCACAAAGUAUCACCAUUGAGAAAUGAAAUUAAUUUAUUUCUUCAUAUUCCCUCCGUUUCUUUUUAGUCAGCAUAUAAGAUUUGGUCAAAGUCAAACUUUGUAAAGUUUGACCAACUUUAUAGAAAAAAAUAUUAACAUCUACAAUACUAAAUCUAUAUGGUAUGAAAAUUCAUUUCAUGAGGUAUCUAACAGUAUUGAUUUCAUAUUGUGAAUCUUCAUAUUAUUUUCUAUAAACUUAGUCAAAGUUAACAAAGUUUGAGUUUGACCAAAUUUUAUAUGCAGACUAAAAAAACGGAGGGAGUACAAUUUAAAGGUAAAGAAGGUGAAAGGACCAUUAGAAUGUUUUCUAGAUUACAACUCCGAGUUUGCCACCAAGGACACGAUACAAAAACAAGGAGAUAAAGUUAAGCAAGGCUCAGGUAUGUCUAUACUCUAUACUUUUAAAUAAUCUAAUUGAUAUUUCCAAACUUGAAGAAAUUAAUCUCCAACUUUGUAUGACAUUGGAUUAUUCACCCAAAUGAAGCAUGUGCAAUCAAGAAUAACAAUCCCCCCAAAAAAAGGAAUCAAGAAUAACAAAAAUGAUUUUACAAACUUCAUAUUGCCACAAGACUGCUUCUAAUAACAGAUCAAGUGCAAAAUGCAUGCCCAUUACUGAAAUUUUAAUUGGACUUCCACCAUUGCGGCUAAGAUUAACACUUUUCAGCUUGCCCUUUUUUUUGCGGGAAGCUUAUCCGUUUAGGAGUGAUGAAACCAGAACUAAGUAUGGGGAAUGUUUUCUUAUUUUUCAAAUGAGAAUGUAAUUAUUGUAGAAAUUCAUACAGUAAGGCCAAUGAUGUUACAAACAAAUCUAAUAGAUUUGUCAUUGAUUUAAUAGGGUUGUGCCUAAAGUCAACCAGCGCCAGAAGAAUAUAUACAGAUCUACACAGCCGAAAAAGAAAGAGGCACGGAAAAGGUCUAAGUAAUCCAUGUGCACGCCUAAGUAAUUCAAUCUACUAGGAAAUGAUUGUUCACGUACAAACAUAUUUCAGUAUGGGCCCGUACGUACAAAGCUAGGUCACCUAUACAAAUUAGGAAAAAGUGGGCAUGUCCUUUUGAGAGAGAAAAAAAUAUACGCCUAAGUAAUUCAAUCUACUUGGAGUACAAAAUCAGAUCAUCUACACACUUUAAAAAAACAUGGGCAGGUCCUUCGGUGAAAAAUAAAAGGCACGCCUAAAUCAUUCAACUUACUGGGAAAUAUACUAAAAAGUCUAGCCACCAAACACAUCCCAUGUGUACAUGCAAGCACUUGCAUCUAAUUCUAACGGACAGACAAGUCAGACUUUGGGCAGAAAAAUAGACAAUGGUACGAGGCACGGUACAAAAGCAACAAGCGCCAACCUAUCUAAAGCCGUAUACUUCAUGAAGAUUUUGAGUCAUGCUAGAUAAAUCUAAAUAUCUUCUAUUACUUUUCCAAAUGAAUCGUGACUCAUGUUUAUUCACCAAUAUAACAUAACAAUUUUACUUGACUAACUCCAUAUAUGCAGGACAAGAAAGUUUACCAAAAAUGAUCGAGAUGGAUAACAAUAAACAAGGAACAUAGAAAUAUUUUAUAGAAGGAGAACAUUACGAGAACUUACUGGAAUGAGGCACAAAACCAAGACAAGUCAGGUGAUGGUUCAAACUUCUUCUAAGAUAUGAUAUCACCACUUCUUGAGGAAACGAGACUCUUAGACCUGUAGUGCUUUUCUGACAAUUGAGUCAUAUCAGUUAUAGUGGAGUCAUAUCUAAAUUAUUUGUCUCUCAACUUCUUCGGGAUGCUAACUUUAAGUUUUUGGGUGAUUUUUUUACGAUUUUGUUUUUCACAACAAUAUGUAUAAUAAUCUAUUACACAAAAAUAUUCAAAUGAUCAAAUUCUGAUUGACACAAACUAACUACAAAGGAAAGUGGAAAGUCCUACUGCGAAAAUUGUGGUACAUAUCAAGAAACCAUAACACCUGGUAAGCAUAUUCUGCUAAUUUGAAUGAGAACUUUCAUAUUAUAUUUACUCUUAAUGAGAGUGGUAUGUAAAAAUUGCUAAACUUAUUGGAUGGGAAGAUCUCAGAAGCACCAAGCAAACCAUUUAUGUUUACUGAGAUAGAGAAAUAAUGCUUGACAAAGAUCAGUAUAAGGCGGACAGUUAUUAGAUAAGGGUCAAAACUUAGCACUAUGAGAAACAUGUCAAAUUGUAAUUAUUCGAAACACAUUCAUACAUGCACUUUUGUGAGUUUUAUGUUGUUCUUGGAAACAACCCUUCUAUCCUACAGCCUUUUCAGUUGAAGAGAACAAAGAGAAAAGCUUCAGUGUUAUAGGCAUCUCCCACAACACAUGUGAAAAAACUAAAAUCUAUUGCAUAUCAAUUAACACAUAUGGGCCAAAGUCAGUGAAUACAUGCAAGCCUUCUUUCUUUGUCUUAAAUACACCAAUUAUUAAUAUAAGUUGCUAAUAUAUGGUAACAACAAAUAGAAAGAACACACCUUUUAUCCAACAAAUAUUGAACACUUUUUGCUAUAGGAAACUUCAUAUAAUUAUUACGGUUGUCUUGAAGAGACAAUAAUCAAAGUUGGGCAGAAUGUCAACUAAAAAAAUAGGUUCGAUUCCCUAAAACAACGCAAGGCACAUCAAUGGCAAGUGACAUAAGUUAUAUCCUAGAACACUAUGAAGAACAUGGCCGUCCAACCCGACGACACAGCUCUAGGCCAGCGCCACGAACUGGAGAGCAACGCCACUCAGUGAAACGAAUCUCUUAUUUUCUCCGGUGACCUCGAAGCCUUGCUGCUUGGGGGCAAAAAAUCCUUCUCUCCAACAGAAAAUUUCUACACCGGAAAAGACGGAGAAAGGUCAGGUGACCUUAAUCAUCCCCUUCUCAUAGCCAUAGCAAAUCUCCAUAAAGAAUCCAUGCCAUUGCUGGAGGUUAGCAGACCAAGAUCUGGGAAGGAAGGAGAAGGAGAGGAAGAUGAGUGAUUACCUAGAGGAGUGCCACCCCUCAUGUUCAAGUGGACCCAACUCCAUGGCCAUCCAAUCGAUGACGGCGGCGAGCUGCAGGCACGUGUGGUCGAGCUGGAUGACAUGCCGCCGCCGGGAGCCUGGAGCCACCGCACUCCACCCCAAAUCCCACUUCUCCCCUGUCCUCUUUUCUUAGCAAGAUCUAGCAACGUAUUGUGGAUGAAUCCUUAGAUCAGGUAAGGAACAGGAGGAGAAUGAGAAUGGGGAAAGGGAUGAAUGGUACUACAGCCGUAUAGAUGCAAAAUACAGUAGAUUUUUUAACGAGAUGCAAAAUACAGUAGAUUUUUCAACGAGAUGCAAAAUACUGUAGAUUAAAGAAACGUGAAGCUCACAAUGUAGAGUCAAGUGUAAUCUUUGACUAUGUGGCCCUGGGUUCCUGACGUGCAUUUUGCACGCGGACUUGAAUUCGCUAAAUGAAUAAAAUGACGGAAAACGGAGUUAUCAAAAAAACA
rnacentral:lncRNA from 1 species